AUCGUAGUUGAGCCUUUUAUUAACGUGAAAAUAAAAACACGGCUAAACCGUUGGUGUACGUUAUCGCAAAGAAAUUGCGCAGCACAACUGCAAGUCACAAAGUACGAUGAGAAAAUAUUUGGAAUUAGAGAUAUGUAAGUAUAAUAU